GCAGACACAUUCCAGCCAAUCAGCAGCAGACCCUCCCUCCCAGACCCUCCCACCUCCUGGACAGCAUCCAUUGUGAAGCUGCAUUCUUAGUCAGCUGUCCAGGAGGUGGGAGGGUCUGGGAGGGAGGGUCUGCUGCUGAUUGGCUGAAAUGUGUCUG